rnacentral:lncRNA from 1 species
UUUUUUUUUCGGACAAAAGGGGUUACUAGAAGACAUAUAUGAGGAUAAGAGUUUCGUUUAAGUUAUUUUGGGUGUUAGCUACCCUUUAUACUUAUAGUACACAUCCAGAAAGGCAGAAGCCAAUAAUAACUACUGACCAGAUUUGUACGCAGGUUCAUAAAUGAGGUCCCUUUAUAAAUGCCCGUAAAGUCUAGUUGUUGUGUGCC